AAAACAUGUCUUUUAGAUUAUAAUUUUAAGUCUGGUCUGCUCAAUGAAUAUAUUUAAAUAGCUGCAGUAUUUUGACUGUACAAAGGUAGCAUAAUCAAUAGUUUUUUAAUUAAAAGCUGGAAUGAAGGAUUUGAUAAGGUAAAAAUUGUCUCAAUGUUAAUAAUAUUAAAAUUUUUAUUUUAGUUAAAAUACUAAAAUGAAGUUGAAAGACGAGAAGACCCUAUAGAUUUUUAUAUUUGAAAUUUUAAUAUAUUUAAAUUUAAAUUGUUAUUAAAAUUUUAAUUAUUUGGUUGGGGAAAUUAUUAAAUUUGAUUAAUUUUAAUUAUUAAGGGACAUAAAUUUAUGAAUAUAAGAUUUUUAUUUAAAAAUUAAAAGAAUAAAUUACCUUAGGGAUAACAGCGUAAUUUUUUUUGAGAGAUCUUAUUGAUAAAAGAGUUUGCGACCUCGAUGUUGAAUUAAGAUAAAAUUUUAAUGUAGAAGUUAAAAAUUUUUGGUCUGUUCGACCAUUAAAAUCUUACGUGAU
rnacentral:rRNA from 1 species